ensembl:snoRNA
AACCUCAUUCCGGGUGAGAGCUGACACUGUUGACCAUAGUGUCGAGAAAUUACUAACGGGGGUCAACAGAGGCGCAGGUGUGCUCCAUCACCAUGAACGUGCUGCAGCGGUGACAAGGAGGCCUGUGACUCUG